UCACUGCUAGGGUUUCGGUGAUUAGGAUUGAGGACGCAUGGAUGGAUUUCGCGAAGUCGUCAGCAAGGAGCCCACUACUAUUUCGAACAACUCCGACUACCGAACCGGACAACGUGGAGCUGCACCAGACACUAUCAACAUUGAUUUUACAGGAGCCGAUUGUUGAACAGUAGGUUCGAGGAGGUCGCGUCUUCGAAGAUCAAUUGGAGGAUUGGCCAAUGAGCUUGGAAAAUCAUAACGUUGCUUGCUUUCCAAAUUUGCCAUAAAAUCUUAGCAAAAAAGGCUUUUGUUUGAAGAUCCAUCGCCGAGGUAAGCACAUCCAAGACCCAUUUGUCAAUAUGGGUUAUCUUCAUCGGGGAGGUGUCGACCUAUAGUCGCGAAUUUGACCAAAUUGCUUUUGUCCAAUUGCAUAACACAAACAGAUGCUUGACCAUUUCUGGGUUUUGUUGGCAAAUUGAACAUCUCAGAUCAAGUAUCAUCUUCUGCUUGAAUAGAUUUUCUUUGGUAGGGAGAGUGUUGUUACACAGACUCCAUACUAAGAAUUUGACUUUGGGACUGGUCUGGAGCUUCCAGAUUGUAUGCCA